AGUGGCGGACGGGUGAGUAAUGUCUGGGAAACUGCCUGAUGGAGGGGGAUAACUACUGGAAACGGUGGCUAAUACCGCAUAACGUCGCAAGACCAAAGAGGGGGACCUUCGGGCCUCUUGCCAUCAGAUGUGCCCAGAUGGGAUUAGCUUGUUGGUGAGGUAACGGCUCACCAAGGCGACGAUCCCUAGCUGGUCUGAGAGGAUGACCAGCCACACUGGAACUGAGACACGGUCCAGACUCCUACGGGAGGCAGCAGUGGGGAAUAUUGCACAAUGGGCGCAAGCCUGAUGCAGCCAUGCCGCGUGUAUGAAGAAGGCCUUCGGGUUGUAAAGUACUUUCAGCGGGGAGGAAGGUGUUGUGGUUAAUAACCGCAGCAAUUGACGUUACCCGCAGAAGAAGCACCGGCUAACUCCGUGCCAGCAGCCGCGGUAAUACGGAGGGUGCAAGCGUUAAUCGGAAUUACUGGGCGUAAAGCGCACGCAGGCGGUCUGUCAAGUCGGAUGUGAAAUCCCCGGGCUCAACCUGGGAACUGCAUUCGAAACUGGCAGGCUUGAGUCUUGUAGAGGGGGGUAGAAUUCCAGGUGUAGCGGUGAAAUGCGUAGAGAUCUGGAGGAAU
rnacentral:rRNA from 1 species